AGGAUUAUAAUUUAAAAAAAAUAAUUAAAUUGCAAUUAAUAAUUAUUGAACCCUAAAAUCAAUUAAUCUUA
rnacentral:tRNA from 1 species